rnacentral:lncRNA from 1 species
UGGUUUUUCGUGUAAGGGAUGUUAACUGAAAUUUUGAUCUCGCUUCCGCAUUUGAUAUAUUUAAAUACUCAUUUCAUUUUAAUGUUUCCGGGGCCGUUACAGUUGGUAUCAGAGCCGCAUUUCCUCGGACCCAUCCCUUACACUAUAGUCCUUUAAAGAAAUACUCACCGAUUGGUCGUUACUCACCCAUUCCUUGUAAAUGCAGGUACACAGAAAUGAGGAGAGGAAGGCCCCCACUAAACCGAGCGGCCCAAGAUAAUUCGCUUCGGGAGGAUUUGGACAGAUUAUAUGAGAUGGUGGAAGCUCUCGUAGCUGCCCAGCGAAGGCAAGAGGAGAGAAGGGAGGUACCCGGACCUCCUCCGCUAGCGCAGGUUGAGCCCCC